rnacentral:lncRNA from 1 species
AGCUAAAGCUUAAACAAUUAUAUCUAACUCAUGAAAGAAUUCUUUAUUGAAAUGUAACUUAUCUUUUGAUGUAUCUGUAUGAGGCUAUGACGGGGAAUCAUAUAACAGAUGUUUUAAGAAGAUGCUCUUUUCAUGUUUAGCUUCUAUUUCAAAUCACCUAUAUUAUCAUAUAAUUUUAUUCUUAAAUUGUGCUUUUCAUUUUCCAAAGGGUGGCGAUUUUGUGUUUUCUUGUAAUUCUCUCUUUAAAAAAGAAGGAACUAUCCUUAUUGAUAAAAUUAUUUUUUAU